CACUACCAAAAUUACAACCAAUAUACGACAAUCGGACGUUUGUAAUCAAUUUUUAGACGCAUUUGCGGAAAAAUAUACUACAUUGUGGCAAAAAUAUACUACACCCAAGCCUAAAAUAUACUAUAAAAAUGAAAAUAGUGUUUCAAAUACAGGAGUGUACCCAGCAAAUAUACUGAAAUCAGAUAUU
rfam:Clanis bilineata nucleopolyhedrosis virus isolate DZ1, complete genome.